UACGUAGGGUGCAAGCGUUGUCCGGAAUUAUUGGGCGUAAAGAGCUCGUAGGCGGUUUGUCGCGUCGGAUGUGAAAACCCGGGGCUCAACCCCGGGCCUGCAUUCGAUACGGGCAGACUAGAGUUCGGUAGGGGAGUCUGGAAUUCCUGGUGUAGCGGUGAAAUGCGCAGAUAUCAGGAGGAACACCGGUGGCGAAGGCGGGUCUCUGGGCCGAUACUGACGCUGAGGAGCGAAAGCGUGGGGAGCAAACAGG
rnacentral:rRNA from 1 species